rnacentral:rRNA from 1 species
AUGGACGCCGCGCCCGUUGCCAACCGCCUCAACAAGUUCCCCCUCGUCGCCGCCUCCCUCGAGACAAGAGGCCUCAUGAAGGAGCAAAUUCGUUCCUUCAACUAUUUCGUCACCAAAAAAAUGCAGAAGAUUGUGAUGGCAAAUAACCGCAUCGUAGCACCCCAAGACCCGUCCAUCUAUCUUAGAUACACUGCAGUGCAUCUCGAAAUUCCGUUUGCGUGUCCAUACUACAGCACUGAUAUUUUGACACCGCAAUUCUGCCGUCUUAAUGAUCGCACUUAUGCUGCCCCCAUAAGGGUUGAUGUUGAAUACACUACAUAUUUACGGGAUAAAACGCUGACGCUACGGGAGGAAAGUGCCACCAUUGGGUACAUGCCUAUUAUGCUCAGAAGCUGUUUUUGUGUUCUGAAUGGGAAGGAUGAAGAUGAACUAGCAAGAUAUGGCGAGUGCCCCCUUGAUCCUGGCGGCUACUUCAUUGUGAAAGGAAAUGAGAAGGUCAUUCUUAUACAAGAAGAAUUACCAAAGAAUCAUAUUAUUAUUGAGACCGAUCGUAAAGGAAGGGUGACUGCGUCGGUUAUGAGCAGUGCAGAUGGAAUAAAAAGCAAGACUCUAGUUGUCAUGGACAACAAAAAGAUCUAUCUAGAUUCGAAUCAAUUCACUAAGAUGAUUCCUAUAUUGUUGUUUUGA